rnacentral:rRNA from 1 species
UGCGAUGCAUCUAGAUUAGAGUUUGGUCCUGGCUCAGGAUGAACGCUGGCGGCGUGGCUAAUAAAAAGGUCGCACGCAGUCUUCUUCGGGAGGCUGAGUGGCGGAGGAUGAAAAUCACGUGGGAACCUGCCCAUCCGUGGGGGACAACACGCCGAAAGGCGUGCUAAUCCCGCAUACACUCCCUUUUUGGGAGGAAAGCUUGGCAACAAGCGCGGACGGAGGGGCCUGCGGUCCAUCAGGUUGUUGGCGGGGUAAUGGCCCACCAAGCCGAUGACGGGUAGCUGGUCCGUGAGGACAGACAGCCAGACUGGGACUGAUACACGGCCCAGACUCCUACGGGAGGCAGCAGCAAGGAAUUUUCGUCAAUGGGCUAACGCCUGAACGAGCAACGCCGCGUGGAGGAUGACGGCCUUCGGUUUGUAAACUCCUUUUUCGGGGGACGAUAGUGACGGUACCCCGGGAAUAAGGCUCGGCUAACUCUGUGCCAGCAGCCGCGGUAAUACAGAGGAGCCAAGCGUUGUCCGGAUUGACUGGGCGUAAAGCGCACGCUGGUGGUCGUGCAAGUGUCGUGUGAAAGCAGCUCGCUCAACGAGCUGAGGCCAUGGCAGACUGCAUAACUCGAGCCCGUGAGAGGUCGGUGGAAUUGCCGGUGUAGUGGUGAAAUGCGUAUAGAUCGGCAGGAACACCCAAGGGGAAGCCAGCCGACUGGCACGGUGCUGACACUGAGGUGCGAGAGCGUGGGGAGCAAACGGAUUAGAUACCCCGGUAGUCCACGCCGUAAACGAUGGAUACUCGCUUUUAUGACCGGUUUAAUGCCGCUGUGAGGCCAAGUUACCACGCUAACGUAUCCCGCCUGGGAACUAUGAGCGCAAGCUUAAAACUCAAUGGAAUGGCGGGGGCCGGCACAAGCAGCGGAGCGUGUGGUUUAAUUCGAAGCAACGCGAAGACCUUACCAAGGCUUGACAUCCCUCUGACCGGUCUAGAGAAUAGCCUUUCCCUUCGGGACAGAGGUGACAGGUGGUGCAUGGUUGUCGUCAGCUCGUGUCGUGAGAUGGUUGGGUUAAGUCCCACAACGAGCGCAACCCUUAUCCUAUGUUGCCAGCGCGUAAUGGCGGGACUCGUGGGAGACUGCCGGGGUCAACUCGGAGGAAGGGGGGGAAGACGUCAAGUCAUCAUGCCCCUUAUAUCCAGGGCUGCAAACAUGCUACAAUGGCCGGUACAAAGGGCUGCGAAACCGCGAGGUCGAGCGAAUCCCAGAAAACCGGUCUCAGUUCGGAUUGAAGUCUGCAACUCGCCUGCAUGAAGUUGGAAUCGCUAGUAAUCGCGGAUCAGCACGCCGCGGUGAAUACGUUCCCGGGCCUUGUACACACCGCCCGUCACAUCACGAAAGCUGGCUGUACUAGAAGUCGCCGAGCUAACCCGCAAGGGAGGCAGGUGCCUAAGGUAUGGUCAGUGAUUGGGGUGAAGUCGUAACAAGGUAGCUGUAGGAGAACCUGCGGCUGGAUCCCCUCCUUUAUCGGAUCCCGGGCCCGUCGACUGCAGAGGCCUGCAUGCAAGCUUCCUGUAUAGUGAGUCGACU